UCUUAUUCUUCAGAGAAGAAGCAACCGUUUCCAAAGCUUCUUCUUAAGCAAAGAAAAUAACGACCAUCCCUCCUCUACAGAUAACACAACAGCCAUCUUCAACUCCAAAAUCCCAAGCUCCAUGAACGACCAAAAAAGGCCUUCGUCUUGAACCCAACAUGCAAAAACAGACCGAGACCAACCGACGACCUUUAGUCCAAAACAAAAAACAAAUCGAGAACAGUUAAUAAAAUGAAUUAAAAAAAGCUAAAAACAGUAAGAGUCCAAAAGCUCGUUUAGAGUCCUUUUCCGGCGAGUUUCGAGUUUUCCAAUUGAGUUUGGAUGACUUAGUUCAAUGACUGUUUCUAUUGCUCCCUGGUCGAAGUCCGUUCGAUGUGUGCUAUGUUGGUUCUGUUCGAGUUCGAUCGUUGUUGGAUUUUUGCUCGAAGCUGCGCUUUCUAUCUAUUAUAGCUGCUGUAAUUUGUCGAUAAUUGAAAGCUUCUUCUGAAGCUGCUUAGUAGAAAUAAUGAAAGGCAUCAGUAGAUUCCAUAGAAAUUCUUAACUGAUUUUGCCAAGAAAGCCAAGGCAUUCCUAUUGAUGGUUCGUUCGAGUUUGUGUAUCCAGUUUCC
rnacentral:lncRNA from 1 species